AAAUUGUAGGGACACAUGCUAACAGGCCUUUUCCGCCCCGCGGAAAAACCGACUCCUGCAAAAUAAGAGGCUACUUCCGGUGCGUAACAACCAUGCUUGUGCGGGGCACGCGCUGAGGCUAAAACCCUCCCUGAGAAACAAUGAGGCUUCUAAAAAAGGUUCCGGGCCCUCUGAGGCCGGGACAGCUCAAAAGGGCUUGGCUUUCCCCUCGCUCCAUCUCCCCGCGCUCGAUUCCAGAACUCAGCGCGGGUGAUUCAAUUAUUAUUGCACUCAAACGUGCUCCCCUGCUCAAACGAGUGCAUGCUCUCUUUCUCUCUGGGGGAAUAAAAAAAGAACAACAAUGA
rnacentral:lncRNA from 1 species